rnacentral:rRNA from 1 species
CUUAAUUUGACUCAACACGGGGAAACUUACCAGGUCCAGACACAGUGAGGAUUGACAGAUUGAAGAUCUUUCUUAAUUCUGUGGGUGGUGGUGCAUGGCCGUUCUUAGUUGGUGGAGUGAUUUGUCUGGUUAAUUCCGUUAACGAACGAGACCUCGACCUGCUAACUAGUUCUGUCGACUCUUCGGGGUCGACUGUGACUUCUUAGAGGGACUAUCGGUGUGUAGCCGAUGGAAGUUCGAGGCAAUAA